ACUGUGCAAAGGUAGCAUAAUCAUUAGUUUCUUAAUUGGAAGCUGGAAUGAAUGGUUUGAUGAAAAAAGGACUGUCUCAUAAUAAAUGUUUUAGAAUUUUAUUUUUAAGUUAAAAAGCUUAAAUGUUUUAAAAAGACGAGAAGACCCUAUAGAGUUUGAUAUCUUAGUCGGAGCACUUUUUUUGGGGAUUACAGGGGUUUUUUGGUUAAGAUGUUUCGUUGGGGUGACGUAAAAAUUUGAUUAACUUUUUUUAGUACGAACAUUAAUUAAUGAAUAAAUGAUCCUGUUUUAUGGAUUAGUAGAUAAAAUUACCUUAGGGAUAACAGCGUAAUUUUUCUUGAGAGUUCUUAUCGAAAGAAGAGAUUGCGACCUCGAUGUUGGAUUAAAAUUAAUUUUUGGUGUAGAAGCUAAAAUAUUGGGUCUGUUCGACCUUUGAAAUUUUACAUGAUCUGAGUUUAGACCGGCGUGAGCCAGGUUGGUUUCUAUCUUUUAUUAAAGAGAAUGUCUUAGUACGAAAGGACCAGGCAUGUCAAAUUAUAUUUUAUUUUUGAAUUAUAUUGUUAUUUUGGCAGAUUAGUGCGAUAAAUUUAGAAUUUAGGUAUGUAAAUAAAUUACAGAUAACAUUGGUUAUGAAAGAUUUAAUUUUG
rnacentral:rRNA from 1 species